GUGGCCUACGGGGGGCAGCAGUGGGGAAUAUUGCACAAUGGGGGAAACCCUGAUGCAGCAACGCCGCGUGAGUGAAGAAGGUUUUCGGGUUGUAAAAUUCUGUUAUAAGGGAAGAAAGGUGAUAGGAGGAAAUGACUAUCAAUUGACGGUACCUUAUGAGAAAGCCACGGCUAACUACGUGCCAGCAGCCGCGGUAAUACGUAGGUGGCAAGCGUUAUCCGGAAUUAUUGGGCGUAAAGAGCGCGCAGGUGGUUAAUUAAGUCUGAUGUGAAAGCCCACGGCUUAACCGUGGAGGGUCAUUGGAA
rnacentral:rRNA from 1 species